AACGAACGCUGGCGGCAGGCUUAACACAUGCAAGUCGAGCGCAUCCUUCGGGGUGAGCGGCGGACGGGUGAGUAACGCGUGGGAACGUGCCCUCUUCUACGGAAUAGCCUCGGGAAACUGAGAGUAAUGCCGUAUACGCCCGCAAGGGGAAAGAUUUAUCGGAGGAGGAUCGGCCCGCGUUGGAUUAGGUAGUUGGUGGGGUAACGGCCUACCAAGCCGACGAUCCAUAGCUGGUUUGAGAGGAUGAUCAGCCACACUGGGACUGAGACACGGCCCAGACUCCUACGGGAGGCAGCAGUGGGGAAUCUUGGACAAUGGGGGCAACACUGAUCCAGCCAUGCCGCGUGAUCGAUGAAGGCCUUAGGGUUGUAAAGAUCUUUCAGCUGGGAAGAUAAUGACGGUACCAGCAGAAGAAGCCCCGGCUAACUCCGUG
rnacentral:rRNA from 1 species